rnacentral:lncRNA from 1 species
CCUCCUCCAAAAGAUACAGAAAAUCUUUUUUCACUUUCUCUUGUCUUCAAUAACCAAAAUCGUGCCAUUUUCCACUUGAUUUUGGCUCCAUUUUAUAGCUGAAAUCAUUCACCAACUUUUCUCUGCUCACUGCCUCCUCUAAAAGAUUCUGAAAAUCUUUUCUCUUUCACUUUCUCUUGUCUUCAAUAAUCAUAACACUCUAAACUUCCACCAUUAAAUCCUUCAUUUGUAACACGUAAUGAUGCCAAUCCUUUUUCUCAACAUUCUUCGCUUUUCUCCUCUUGGUUCCUUGGAAACUUCCAUUUAAAGGUUUUUGUUUUUAUUUGUCUUUUUUUUUGUACUCUCAGUGAUCCUUUUUUGUUUUAUUAUAUUUUUUGACUUAGCAUUAAUUUUUUUUCAAAAUUUCUUUUUGUGUUGUUGGGUUGUUAAAAGGGAUUAGAUUUGAUGGGUCAAUGGCGGACAUGGGUGAAGCGAGGAAGAUGGAGAACGGUGAGAUAGUUGUGGAGACAAGCUUUACGCGUACCGUGGGUUGGGAGCAUCAAGGAAGCUUUGGAGGAGUUGAAGCUCAAUCCUCUCCAUCUUCUCAUGGGAUGAUAAGAUUUCGGGUGCACCUCAUUAUGCAUAUAGAGUUGACUGUUGACGGUAAAAUAUGUGGUUUUUCUUUAUCAUUAAUUCUUCUUGAUUUGAUAUCCGUAUCUUAUUGAUUUGUUUUCUAAUGUUUUUGCGUGGUUGAAGGAUAAAGGUCAUCCCUCCUCGCUCGUGCAGCUUGUAGUCAUCCUCAUGCAGCCUGUAUUACUUGCUCUUAUAAAUAAUUUGGUUAUGGUAGAAGAUCAUCGGGCAUCGCACUUCCAAAUCUCUGCCCAUUGUGAGUCUUUAUAAUCCUUUAAUUUUCAGUUUUUGAUUGUAUUUAUUUCUUAUUUGAUCAUUUUUACAUGGUAUUGUAGAAUUAUAUUGCACAUGCUUAAAUUUCGUGAAAGUGGAGGUAGGUAUGGUUCUUUAGAUCUAAUAGAAAGAAAUGAAAAAACUGAUUAUAAUUUCGUAUCAUAGAAAAUCUAAGAAAUUUAGAAACAAAUAAAUCAAAUAAAACGAAACAAAAAAAGAAAAUGACUAUCAAUUUAGAAAUAAUACAAAAAAAUAGAAAGAAAUGAAAAAAAAUGAACUAUCAAUUUUGAAAUUAUCCCAGAAUAAAAAUUUACUAUCAAAUAUGAAAAAAGAAGCCCAUAUAAAGAAAUUUAGAAAUAAUUAAUUUAAUAAGAAAUAAUAAAUAAUUUAUUAAAUUGAAUCCAGAAACAAAAAAAUCAAUCAAAAGAAACAAAAAGAUUUAAACAGAAAUUAAUUUAGAAAUAAGCCCACGUAUAGAAAUCUAGAAAUAAAAAAUAAUUUAGUAAAUUGCAUCCAGAAACAAGAAAUCAUCAAAAUUAAUUUAGAAAAAAACAAAGAAAAAAAUGAAUUAUCAAAUUAGAAAUAAUAUGAGAAAAAAUUGAUUAUCAAAUAUGAAAUAAUAACUAGAAAUAAUAAAUAAUUUUGUAAGAAAUAAUAAGCUAGAAAAAAGAAGAAGCCCAUAUUAAUUUAAGGUUUAGGGUUUAGAUGCUGGGGUCUAAUGGUUCAGGGUUGAGGGUGCAGGUGCACACCUAUAGACUGUUAAUUUUUCUUUUUCUUUUUUGUCAAAUAUCUCCUUUUUGCUGCGUAUAUGUGAUCGUAGUUUUAAUUUAUUUAAAACCAGCAAGAAGUUAUUCUUUCUUUAUUCAAGGUAAAAAGAUGUGGAGAAACAUAAUCAUCAUAUGUUAUUUUAAUCUCUUACUUUAGUACUUUACAUGCCUAGUUUGAGGAGUAAAGUAAUUUGCACGAUAUGUUGAUGCUUAAUCCUAUGAAACUAUUAUAAGGAAAUUUAAGUUGACUAUCAGCAGGAUGAUGCCAGUGAAAUCAAUUGCUCUCUUGUAGAUCUAUUUGGUCCUCACCUUAUAGUUAUAGUGACUGAAAAAUGUGGUUUAUAAUUAUUCUUAUUGAUUUGGUUUUCAAUACUUUUGCGUUGCUCUAGGAGAAUGGUUGUCUCCCCUAUUGUUGCUUGUAGAGGAUCAUCGGGCACAACAGUUUCAAAUCUCUGCCCAUUGUGAGUGUUUUAUAAUUCUUUAUUUUUUUUUUGUUUUUGAAUAUUAUAAAAAAAUCUUGUAUUUAUUUGUUAUUUUAUCAUUUUUACAUCAUAAUCUAAAAUUAUAAUGCACAUGCUUAAAUUUGUUAAAAUUCUUCUAGAUAUCUUGUUAAUUUUGUGAAUAUGGAAGUAGAUAUGGUUCUUUAGAUUUACAUGAAAGAACUGAAAACAUUAAUAGGGGUUAGGGGGUUUAUGGGGUUGGGGGUCGGGGUUUAGGAACUACUUUGCCUCAUAAAUAUUUUCUUUAGUACCUCGAUAAUGUUUUCCUUUAAGAUCAGAACUUCAGAAAUUAUGGUAGCAUGUUGAGUAUUGCUGCUCUCAAGUUCUUCAUUUCUUCUUCCAAGCUGCUGAAGUAUAACAUCUUUCUCGUUGCAUUGAACCAUAUAAAUUAAAUUGAGCAAUAUGAAGCCAGCCAAGUAGUUCCUUUGAAAUACCCAUCAGCACCUCUGCAUCAUUUUCUGCCUAUAAAAACCUAAGACUUGUAGGCACGAGAGAGAUUGAAUUUUAAAAGAAAAAAGAGAGUAUAAGGGUCCAAUUCAUAAUUUGAUUUUAAGCAAGUGAAAAUGAACCAGAUUUGAAGUAUAACAUCGAUAUUACAUCAGCAAUUACAAAUUAUUUAAUUUAUUAGAGUGUCAUGAGAUAAUUGACUAAAAACAAAUUCUAGUUAGAACCUUUAAAAAACCUCACACUCUCUUCUUUCAAAAUAUCCAGAACCUUGUAGAGAAGAUAGAAAGGGAAAAGAGAAGCAGAUUAGAAAUAUAUCAACCGAAAGAAGAAGAAAAAGAUUCAUAAGCGUAGAAAUGGGUAUCUUCAUUCUCUUCUCCAUUUUAUUUUUUCUUUCAGUUUAUAGAGAGAGAGAGAAAAUCUAGAAAUGGGUUCUAAUCCCUGCAGAAAAGGAAUCCCUUGGUUCUCGUAUCAACGCUAUUUUCUUUUGCAAUAUUAUUAAAACCUGCAAGCCCUGUAGAGUGUCAACCCAUAAACUAGUUAUAUUUAUCAUUGAUAUAUUAAAUAAGUUAAUGAUGAAAACAUUGAGUUAACUGAGGAAUGUACAAUAAUAAUAAUGGAAGGUACAAAUGCUUGAAUUUUUAUGAUUUUCGUUAUUAUCCCAUAUCAUGCUGAUAUCAAUGUUAUAGUUGAAGAAAUUUAUUGUUUUUGAAAAAAUACGUACGUGGUUUCUCAUUUAUUUGUUCUUGAUUUGAUCUGCAUUUAGGAAUCUUCAUGCAAACUUGUUUGAUGAGCGCUCGUUUGAUUUUUCAUCGAGCAUUGCAGUUUCAAGUGUCUGCCUUUUGUAAGCUUUCAUAAUCUUUAAAUUUUUAGUUUUUUAAUAUUACUAGAAAUAUGACAUUUAUGAUUUUUACAUCAUAUUCUAUAGCUACACUUUACAUGCUUAAAUUUUGUUAAGAUUUUUCUGAAGAUCUAAAAAAAUUAGAGAAUGUAGAGGUAGAAAUUUAGAGUUAAGAAUUCUAUUAGAUAAAAAUGUAAUAAUUAGG